AUAAUCAAGCAUCAAUUAAGUCUAAUUAUUAUUAUUUUAUUUUAUUUUAUUUUUGAAAUAAAUUAUAAAAGAAAUACAAAGAAAUCCUAAAGAAAUCCUAAAAAAAAACCUAAAGAAAUCCAAACCAAAUCCUAAACUAAAUCAAACCCUAAUCUUAACCAAAUCUUAAUCCUAAUCAAAUUCUAAUUCUAAUCAAAAUCUAAAACCUAAACAAAUCUUAAUUCUAACCAAAUUCUAAUGAAAUCUUAAAUAAGCCCUAAAUAAAUUUUAGUCAAAUCUUAGUCAAAUUUCAAUCAAAUCCUAAUCCUAACCAAAUCUUAAAUCAAUCCAAAACCCUAAUCCUAACCCUAAACCAAAUCCUA
rnacentral:lncRNA from 1 species